rnacentral:lncRNA from 1 species
GACCCCCCCCAGACCGGUGGGAGGCCCCCCCGGUGUCCCACAGGGGGCCUGGGGGGUUUUCCAGUAUGUCCCAGUAAGAACCAGUAUGGCCUAAUGGGAGCUGGGUGGCUCCCAGUAUGCUCAAAUGCUUCCUUCCCUAUAGAGUAACAUGUCCCAGUACAUCCCAGUAUGUCCCAGUAUGUCCUAAUGGCCCCACCAGUAUGUCCCAGUAUCCCCCAAUGCCCCCUUGCUAUCUCCCAGUACAUCCCAGUAUGCCCCAGUACCCCUCUACAACCCUCCCAGUCCCUCCCAGUACAACCCAGUACCUCCCACUGCACCCCCAGCAGCCCCCCAGCGCCCCCAAAUCCCCUUUUCCCCCCACUGCAGCGCUCCCAGUGCCCACCCAGUUCCUCCCAGUGCCCUCCCAGUUUACCCCAGUCCCUCCCAGCGCCCUCCCAGCGCCCUCCCAGUCCCUCCCAGUGCUCCCAGUACCGGCCAGACGCUGGGACUGGGGGUGCCCAGGGCGCGCAGCACGCAGCAGAGCUGCUCGAUGUCGUUCUCCCCCGGGAACAGGGGCGAAAGGUUCAGCAGCUCCCCAAAAAUGCAGCCCACGGCCCUGGGGGGGGGGGGCAGAAAUUUAUUUUUUUUAGGAGGGGUCAAAAAUUUUGGGGGAAAAAGGGGAAAUUUUGGGCAAAAAGGGAAAGGGGAAAAGGGAAGGGAAAAUUGAGGAGGAAAAUUAGGGGGAGGGAAAUGUUAAGAUAAAAAUCUGGAGGGG